rnacentral:rRNA from 1 species
UACGAAGGGGGCUAGCGUUGCUCGGAAUCACUGGGCGUAAAGGGUGCGUAGGCGGGUCUUUAAGUAAGAGGUGAAAUCCUGGAGCUCAACUCCAGAACUGCCUUUGAUACUGAGGAUCUUGAGUUCGGGAGAGGUGAGUGGAACUGCGAGUGUAGAGGUGAAAUUCGUAGAUAUUCGCAAGAACACCAGUGGCGAAGGCGGCUCACUGGCCCGAUACUGACGCUGAGGCACGAAAGCGUGGGGAGCAAACAGG